rnacentral:rRNA from 2 species
UCUCCUGGAAAACGGGUGGUAAUGCCGGAUGCUCCGACUCCUCGCAUGGGGUGUCGGGAAAGAUUUCAUCGGUAUGGGAUGGGGUCGCGUCCUAUCAGGUAGUCGGCGGGGUAACGGCCCACCGAGCCUACGACGGGUAGCCGGCCUGAGAGGGCGACCGGCCACAUUGGGACUGAGAUACGGCCCAGACUCCUACGGGAGGCAGCAGUGGGGAAUAUUGCACAAUGGGCGCAAGCCUGAUGCAGCGACGCCGCGUGCGGGAUGACGGCCUUCGGGUUGUAAACCGCUUUUGAUCGGGAGCAAGCCUUCGGGUGAGUGUACCUUUCGAAUAAGCACCGGCUAACUACGUGCCAGCAGCCGCGGUAAUACGUAGGGUGCAAGCGUUAUCCGGAAUUAUUGGGCGUAAAGGGCUCGUAGGCGGUUCGUCGCGUCCGGUGUGAAAGUCCAUCGCUUAACGGUGGAUCUGCGCCGGGUACGGGCGGGCUGGAGUGCGGUAGGGGAGACUGGAAUUCCCGGUGUAACGGUGGAAUGUGUAGAUAUCGGGAAAGAACACC